rnacentral:rRNA from 1 species
GACGAACGCUGGCGGCGGGCUUAACACAUGCAAGUCGAACGGCAAGGCCCUGCUUUUGUGGGGUGCUCGGGUGCGGAAGGGGUGAGUAACACGUGUGCAACCUACCCUAGACUUUGGGGUAACAUCAGGAAACGGGGGCUAAUACCGGAUAGGAGCUCCUGUAGCGUGGUGGGGGUUGGAAAUUUUCGGCUGGUGGGGCUGGACUGGCGGCUUAUCGGCUAGCUGGUGGGGGAGUGGCAGACCAAGGAUUGGACGGGUAGCCGGCCUGAGAGGGGGAACGGCCACAUUACGACUGAGAGACGGACCAGACUCCAAUGGUAGGCAACGGUGGGGAGUAUUACACAGUGGGCGGAAGCCUGAGGCGACAACGCCGCGUGCGGGAAGACGGCCUGCGGGUUGUGAACCGCUUUCGCCUGAGACGAAGCGUUAGUGACGGUAAUCGGUGAAGAAGCACCGGCUAACUACGUG